CACCAAGCCCACAUCUCUUAAGUGUUAAAAUAUAAGGUGGAGGAAAAGAUAAUUAGGGUUUUCAUAAAAAGAGUUUCAUCACCAAGGAAGCUAGGAGGUGUACUUUUCCUUGGAAUUAAUUGAAGAGACAACCAAUUGUUCAAGGUCUUAUUUAAGAGUGUUUCGAGGCCUUUGGAGGUUGUUUCAGCUGGACUUUAAGAGGGAUUCAAGUGCUAUUAAAGUUUAGUUGGGGAACAGAACCUUUGGAUUGCUUCGUAAGGUGUAAGGUAGAGCAUGAGAGUUUUAGGCGAAGUCAAUAAUACUU